rnacentral:ncRNA from 1 species
UAAUUUUGCACCCGUCUUACAAAAGUUGUAUGACAUACAUAAAAAUCAUUUAAAACAAUAUUGGAAUG